CCCGUCCAGCUGGGGAAGCUGGUGCAGACUGGCGUGUAGAACACAGGAAGCCGGAGGGAGGGCCAUUUCCCCUUUCGCCCUCGAAAGUCCCCUCCCUCCCCCCGGGUGUGCAGCAAGAUGUCAAACCGGGGGCCGUGGGGAGACCCUCCCUUGCGGCGGAGCUCCACGACUCUACUAUCUUAACUCUACUUGGGGGGCCUCCUUAUACCCCAACCCCCAGAUUCUAGUUGCCGAAGGGAGACAGGAUACAGGUGCUGACUCAGCCAUUGAGACAUGUUAUCCAAGGAGCGGAGCUGGGAGGCGCCUGUGAGGACCGUGAGGGCCCACACCUGGGUGUUGCUUAUCUUGGGGGAUUUUCACCUCCUCUGCAAGAAGGGCCGCUGACCACAGGGCUCUGUAAAGUUGCUACCUGCCUUGCCGUAUUUUUCAGAACCCAUCUCCAAAAUGUUGGUACACAACAGGAUACAAAAGCACACACAAAGGGGAAAGCAAGCAAGUCUGGAGCAGUGGUAUAGAGUGUUCAAAUGAUUUCUCCAAAAUCUGUGCCCAGGACAAUACUCCCACAUGCUGCCGAAUGCCCCUGUGAGCAACUUGCCUUCCAGCCUGUGCAGAGUCACCUCUGGUGCUGGCAAAUGACUUUUCAGAGCAAGAAGACCCAGCAGACAUGAGUGAAAACAGCUGCCUGCACAAGUUGUCCCCUAACAGGUACAGCCAAGAGUCAGAAGCACAGAGGGAGCUGGGGAAGCGACAUUUCUUACAGAGCCCACUGCUGUCCCUGUGUGAAGUGGCUCAUAUCAGCUCUCGAUUCUAUGCCGGUGUUCUGGAUUUCCUCUUGAGAUGUGCAUUUGUAUCAGCCAUCCUGUCCCCUGUGCCUCUGACGAGCUCCCUUCUGGAUGGCCUGCUGUCAUGCUGAGAUGACCCUUCACUAACAUCUGAGAAGUCCCUUUGCUGUUCUACGGUGUGGAAAACUUGUUUCCUCCAUCUCAUGUCUUCUUCCUUGCUUAAUUCCUUUGUUUAAUGAAACAAAUUAAUUCCUUUGUUAAUGAAACUUCCCAAUAGUUUCCUAAGAAAAGUGUGUAAGUGGUC
rnacentral:lncRNA from 1 species